CCUAAAGUUAACCGAAAAAGGCAAAGAUCAAUAAGAUUAGAGAAUGCAAAUGAUGUUUAAUCCGCGAAGACUUUACACAUAAUCCAAAGUGAAGAUCUUUUUUACAAGGCAAAAUUAAGUCUAGGACACUGGAAAAAAAGAUGGCUUUUGCCCAAACACACUAAAAAAAUAUGUUUUUGCUCAAACACACUAAACUUUGAUGUUAAUUAGGUGCUGGACCACACAUGGAAAAAACUUGCAAUGAAUAUGUUUAUGAAUCUGAUGCACCACCACCUGCCCCUCCAAAACCAAAAAGAAAACAAGCCAAGAAAAGUGUCACAGUAGUGCCAUCUAGUAGUGCCACUAAUCCAAUACAGGAGCAACCAUCAUUUGAUGAACCAUCUACACCAACAAGAACUAUCACAUCUGUUUCUACUCCAAGCCCUAUGACAAGAAGAUACAAAUGCAACUUCCUAAAUUUUGCCAUGUUGUAUUACUUCUUACUGAAUUUGACAUAUUUUUCUCUAUUUAGUAUAUCAAGAAGGUUGCUGGAGCAAAAUCCAUCUACACCAAGUAGAGCUAUCACUCCUGUGCAAACACCUAGCCCUAUGACAAGGAGGCGAAAAAGGUUGCUGGAAUUUGAAGGCUCCAUAGAGCGUGUUGCAUGUGAAGCACUAUCUCCAGUAGCCUUCAUGGAGAAGGGGAAGGCAAAGAAGUUGAAGGUUGUCAGGUCUAAGAAAGACUAGAGAGUGCCAGAUCACUAGCGUGUAUAGUUUUGGUAGCAUCAAGAUAGCUAAAUAUGGCUCAGAAUCUGUGAUUUUCUUUUGCUAAACCUGCUGAAUCAUUCCCUAUUGCUAAACCAUGUCAUUGGGGUCUAUAUUGUAGCCAAAUAUGGCUAAACGUGCUAUUUGUAUUUGAUUACUGCGUGCUGAAUGGUGAAGAAUAUGGUGAAGUACAUGAUGUUAUCAUGUACUUUUGUCUAUCUAAUAUGUUCAUUUGAAGGGGUAGGGGUAUA